CUCCAAGAAAGGCUUUGGGAAGAAAACAAACUUCAACGUGUGCACGUUCUCAUUAGGAGCAGGCAGGAGGAGAGCUCCCAUCCCAGCUGGAUGAGAUCCAGGGAUCCCAGGGAUGGAGAGGGUGGAAAUGGGCCUGCAGCCAGAAGAACUUGAGAGAUUUCUGACAAGUCUGAAGGGAAGAGUGAUGGUAGGAAAGGAGCUGCACAUCCUUGAGUGCCUCAGAAGUACUUCCAAAAGCUCCCAGAGUCAUUUCCACCCCAACCCAGAGAUUUCCAAGGAUCCCAUCCAAAACUCAGCAGGAUCAAGCUUUGUUCCUGCCCUUCCUGGUGCAAGUUUACAGGAAUCAGUGUCUGGAGAGGAGCCUCCACCCUCUGCGUGAGAGCGAGAUGUUGUAGAUGCAAACAGGACGGAAGCGCCGCGUAAACCUCGGAGCAAACAAAAAAGCUGUGAGGAAAACAAGAGGAGCUGUAAACUCCAACCACCCAGAGGGCAGGUGGAACUCUGGCAGUGAAGAUUUGUGCUGCUCCUUCUGCAGACUGAGAAGAGUUGAGCUCUUGAGCAAAAGGAUUUGAUUCCUCGGAGUCAAAACUUUCAGAGUUUGUCUCAUGUCCUCACAGCCUGGUGCAGGUGUGAGAGCUCAGCCCCACAACAGGCUCUGUGUUCUCCACAAUGUUCUGCUUUCUAAGUUUUUUCAUGUUUAGAACCUUCCCACCCUCCAGGAGGGACGCCAGGAAGGGUGGCAGUGGUGUAAGGAGCAAAUGGAACAUCACUUGAAGGUAAUUCCGUGAUUGGAUAAUCAACUUUUCUGACUGGAGGAGGAGAACAGGGACCAAUGUGCUGUGUCAGGUCCAUCUCUAGCAACAACUGUGGCAGCAAGAAUAAAAACAAAUGUGCAGCAAAGUGAAAUAAGGAA
rnacentral:lncRNA from 1 species